CCUCCCAAAGUGCUGGGAUUACAGGCGCCUGGCCAGGAUUCCUUAAAUAAGGUAAAAGAAAAUGUAACUCUAAAUGAAGUGAUUGAUAUAUUUGACUAUACUAGAAUGCAUUCACCAAAAAACACCAUUUACAAAAACAAAAAGCCUGUAGAGUUGGGAAAUAUAUUAAUUCAUAUAACCGUCAAAGGACAGGUGUCCAGGUAUGUAAAGUACUUCUGUAUACCAAAGAAAAGGAACACCCAAUAGAAAAAUGGGCAAAAACCUUAAUGAAGCACUUCAUAAAAGAAAAAAUUAUCUAAUAAACAUACAGAGAAGUGCUUUAUCUCAUUCUGUAAAACUCUGCAUAGGUUCGGAAUUGGCCAUGGCGAAGUGUUAACUGUGCUGCUGUCUAAUGUGGAAUGUAGUGGCAGAUGAACCUGGGAAGAGGAGAAACAAGAAAAGGGCUGAAAGGGGGAAGAGAUGGUAGAAGAAAAAAAAUACGUUGGAUACAGUGGAACCACCAGGUGGCGCCACGCUACAAUAUGACUCUUGGAAGUCUCCUUUUAAAGAGAGAGCAAGGGACCACAAGAGAAACCUACCAGAAAAUACAAAUGGUCCAACUCUGAAUGGGAAUGAAAAACAUACCUGUACAAAAUAUGCACUAAAAAAAAAAAAUCAGAAGUCUAACAAUAUAUAUUGAACAACUGUGUAUUACAAAGACUCCCUGGCAAGUUCUCAUCUGUUCUGACCAGUUGGUAUUUUCAGCGUUCUUCUUUCACUUUGGCCAUUUUGGUUGUUACCCAGAACUUCCAAUAUAAUGAAUAGAAGUGAUGAUAGAGAAAAACUGUCAACAAUAAAUACACUGUGUGCAUCUAUCCACAAGAUCUCUGAAGAGAUCAGGUGUCCAAGCUUUGGCCCAGCAAACACAUUCUAGAAACUUCUUGCCAGAGAAGCAGCCAUUCUCAGCUCAGGAGUAACAGAUCCUUCUAUGCUAUUGGCUUAGAUGGUCUGUGGCCUUAAUUCCAUUGUGCACAGAUUGGAUGUGGCUGCAUUUAGAGAGGGACAGUCGAGUCCCUUAUUAGGUACACUUACGCUGUACCUAUCCAGAGAAAAUCAGGUGAGCAAAACCUACAUACACUUGUGAAAAAUGAUAAUAGGACACAAUGGACAUUAUGGACAUUGGAAAGAGAUUGAACUUAAAAUUACCCCAUUUGGAAUCUGGGUGGUUUUGCCAAAAGACAGAAGCAGAGUGGUUUUUACUUCCUUUGCAGUAUUUCUGAAAAGUAAAAACAGUUUUUUGCAGAAACCCAGAAACAGCAGCUGAAAUGUUUUACAUACUCCCUAAGGAAGCAGCGCCCAGCAGAUGAAGCCCUGCGGGAGAGCACAGCAGCAGCGGAGGCUCUGGGGGAAGGCGUGGUGUCUAAGGCAAAGGACUCUGCCAGCUUACAUAUUUAUUUGAAAGACACAGACAUAAAAAGGAUGAAUAUGUUUAUAUAACUUAAAGCAAUGGUUAAGAAAUAGGUAACUAGGUGAGGCUCUGAAGAUUUUGAAAGAAGUGUGUUACUUGCUUGCUGCUCCUUUAAGGGAGAAAAACAAAACAAAAAACAUUCCCAUAAGCCUAGGAAUUCUUUCUGGGCCCCCAAGGCAGGUUCUCAGCUGCAUUUAACUGUCUAAAGCUACUGAACUCAUGAGUUCUAGUGAGUUGUAAAAGCUCUAAUGAACUCCAUAGCUUGGAUUUACAAAAUAGAAAAUCUGGGGGUUAGAAUGAAGCACCGGCUUUACUUUUCUGCAAAGAUUACCUUCUAAUGAGAUGAAAAUCAGCUUUCUUCAAUACCAAGAUCACCAUUCUUUGAGAACUUCCUUAUAAGGUCCCAGAUCAAACACUUGAUCUUACUCAGGGAGUAACUGUUUUCUUUAGUAAAUGCAAAGAUUUUUUUCUUCUUCUAGGCAUCAAAGGCAAACCAGAUACAACAUUAAGAUGAUGGGCAUUAAAAAGAUGAGGUAGGGGUCAAAAUGAGCCUAGAGGUUGCAUAUAUCUACAAUAAAGUUUUUUUUUUCCUUCCUGCAUAGAUGGAGCAGCUCAUUGAAAAACACUUUUAUUUUUUCAAAGAUUCAGGGUCUUGCUCUGUCACCCAGGCUGAAGUGCAGAGGCACCAUCGUAAGUCAAGCUCACUGUAACCUUGAACUCCAGGGCUCAAGGAAUCCUGGGACAAGGUAUCAAAGGCAAACCCUCAUAGUCUGAGAAACACUAUGAAAACCAAAAGUUAAGGUGCUACAACAUAAAAAGUCAGAUGAAGAUGAGUAAUUUAAUGGUUUCAUUCUUACUGGACCAUUCUAGAUGGAGACAAGUAGAAGGUAAAGUUUCAAUGACUUCUUUUAAGUUUGUGUAUAGUGUACUUUAAGCCGAGGGCACAGAAUUUCCUUCGUCUUUAUCAAUUUUGUAGAUGUUUGCGUCUUCAUAAAUAUUAGCAAUUUCUAGACUCUGAUACUCUAUUAUUUUAUAGAUAUUUCUUUUUGUGGUUAUGUGCCCCUCCUUCAACAUUUUAUGCAUAUCCUUUAAAAACAUAAGCUCACAAUGUAAUUGCUCUUGGUCUACCAACAUCAGUUUCUUCAGAUACUUUUUCAUAGUUGGGAUUGUCAGAAUUUUAUUUUGCAAAGAACUUCAUUUUAAGCCAAUUUCUUUUUAGAAUCUUUGGAUAUGGGAUAAGGACAAAAGUUACCAGAAGUUUUGAAAUAGUCUUUCCUAAUAUUUGUCUUUUCUGUUUUUAGAAUGUUUUGUGGCAAUUCUCAUAAAACAAAACCUAACUCACCUAUUCUCAGUAUUCGACCAGCAGAACACCUCACUUACCUGUGCACAUGAUCUAAUGCAACGAAGAGUCCCUAACAGGUUACACCUGGUGAGUAUGCAGACGUAGAGAUCUUCUUUGUCUUAAAACAGGUUUUAGCUGUGGCACGGACAUUUUGGACCCAAUCAAUCUUUGUGGUGGGGGCUGUCCUGUACAUCACAGCAUAUUUACCAGCAUCCCUACUUUCCACUCCCCAGAGCCUGCACCACCCCCUCCUCAAGCUGUGAUGACCAAAACUGUCUCCUGACAUUGCUCUAAUGUCUCCAUGGGGAGCAAAAUCACUCCCUAUGGGAACCAGUGUCAUAAACCAUUUUAGAGGCAAACUACAAACUAACUCCCCAAACUGUGAUGGUGGAAAUAGUCUAUAACUUCCUAAUACAGCAGCUGAUCACUACAUGACACUGCUAAGCACCUGAAAUGUGGCUAAGUAUGAGGAGAAUUCUUAAUUUAAUUUCAUUUUAAUUAAGUCCUACAUAUACUAUAAGGACAAGAUGCUUCAUCAUGGAAAGCUGUGUAGAUAUCUGAUACCUCUGUUAAAAAUCAUGUGGUUGAUAGGCAAUAAAAACUUACAGAAAGGGUUUCACCAUGUUGUCCAGGCUGGUCUCAAACUAUCCACCCACCUCCAUCUCCAAAAGAGCUGGGAUUACAGUUGUGAGUCACUGCACCAGGCAUAAAUGUUUUAUUAGUCCUAUUUCUAUCCAUUUAAUUUUCAUUCUGACUAGGUAUUUGUUAAAUUAAGAGGUGAACUGUGAAGUUAAAGAUUACAAUGAUAGAAAUUUAAAUUCUCUUUUAAAUCAAAAAGUUUUAAGUUGUUUUUUGCAUGAUAGGAAUCAUGACUGAAAAUAUAAGAAUGCAAAAAAGGUGCUCUAACUGAAUUCUGGUAAAUAAUUCCUUCCUUGAAAGAAAAGAAAAACUAAACAAAAUUUAAAGGAAAGGCCAACCAGGAUUGAAAGAAAACAUUUAUUGAAUCAAAAUCAAUACUUUCUUUUUAGUAUCUACAAGCCAACACAGAACUCAUUUUAUUCAAGAAUGAACACAAUGUACAAAAAAAGUAUGCUUAUAUUAUAAAAAUAUGUCAAUUUUAUCUUCUGGGUGCUUAGCAGAAGUCAUUUUAAACAAAAUCAAGGCAAACUUGUUCUCUAUAAUGAGUCUGCUAUAAUUUAACAACAAAGUGAAAGCUAAUGUACUUACGAAGUAUUUUUAAAGGCCCACUGAUAAUGCUGCACUGGAAAUGCUAAACCCAAUGUUAACUAAAGUCAACAUUUCCGCUCUACGCUUACUGGCACCACUUCAUGCCUACAUCAUGGGAAAGUACCUCUUUUACAGAAUGCAGAUCACUGCUAACAAUCCACAUGACUAAGUCUUCAGUUUCCCUUGCUUAACAUUUGUUAGCAUAUAUUUCAGCAAAGAUUAACAGUAUAAUGAAUGUUGAGUAGUAAAAUCCUAUUUAAUUCGCUUCAAUUUAAAAAUGAGAUAUGCUGCUAUGGGGAACAAAUGACCUCUUGAGAUUUACAACCCCCUUUAUAAAAGUGGGAAAGCUGCCUCCCUAAAAAAAAUUAUGUCCAAGGUUAAUACCGUAUCUUUUUUUGUAGUUUUCUUAUUUCUUGAUUUUAUUGGCACCUCCCAGGCACUUUGGCAUGUGCUCCUGUAUAAAGUGUAGUUACUGUGCCUGUAGAGUUAGUGGCAGCUGCAGAGUAGUUAUAGGCUGACAAGUCCACUUUUGGCUUACCAUGGAGAUCUGCUCCAACACAUGCUGGUCGUUGGAGCAGCAAAAAAAAAAAAAAAAAAAAAAAAAA
rnacentral:lncRNA from 1 species